rnacentral:lncRNA from 1 species
CACUUCACAGAACCUUUGGGAAAAAGGGUCAAUGAAGAAGAAUGGGUAACACCAUGCCAUUCAACGACAGAUUAAUUCCAUAGUCAUAUCAUCCAGUUUUGCACAGGUCCACCUUUCCCCCUAUCCCUCUGACUUAGUUGCCUUAAACAGAGUAUCUGUUGUUGAGAGAGCAUCAAGAGGUAUGUCCUCUCACAGGUCCCAGGCUUUGUGAUCAUUCUGAAAGGUUCAGUAGUGUUAGACAGCACUAUCUUCUCCCCAGCUAUUUUUAAUGGGACUUUACAGUCAAAGCCCCUGAUGGUCUACUUUUUAGAAGUUAGCUGUCUAGGUUGAAGUUACUACAAACAUAAAUGCUUUUUAAUGACAAAUUUGCCUCAAAGGUAUGCAGGGAAGUUGUCAUGAGCAACAUGGAAAAUGAGCCCCUGAACUGAAAUGUAUGUUUGGAAUUAAACUUUUCAGGUUGUGCCCUGUUUUUGCAACUGUAGAUUAUUCAUGUUGGUGCAUAUGUAUAUACUAGCUGACUGGCUGUCCCUUUUGAUGUUCCUCUGACUCCUUUGGAGAAUAGCUCAAGCGGGCAUUUUCUGUGAGCUGGCAAGUGGGCGAGGGUCACUGUGCCCAGGAUGGGCUUCUCUUCCUGUCUGUGCUCUUCACACGAGGAGUUCCCUUGGCAUGCAUUUGGUAUUGCCAGCAUCAUAGAAGCAAAAACUUAUCCAGAAAGAGGCCCUAUGGUGUAUUUUACAAGAAGAUUCAACCUUCAGCAGCCUGGUUUUGUUCUCCUGCUGCACAGUUUAUAAGUAAAUGACUCCUGGAUAUUGAUAUUGCAGCUCCCUCUAGUGUCACUGUGGCUCAGGCUCUCAUAGCAUUUUUUCUUGCCUUUCAGAAAAUAUAGACAGCACAGAAUCUGCCAAAUUCACAGCAUUUUAAGUAGAUUUCCCCAAACAUAGCCAAGGCAAAUAUGAGGUGAUUUUUCCCCUAUUAGAAAAGGGAAUGUUUAAUGAAGAUGUGGGACCAUUCCAGUUCUAGUUUAUUUUUAUUCCUAUUUUUAAAUUUUGGGGGUCCUAGGAGGAGUCCUGAAGUAAUCAUUUAUAGAUUAAAGAGUAGCUGGCAUGAACAAGUAGAAUCUUUCUUGAGAUUCCUCCUGC